rnacentral:lncRNA from 1 species
UAUUGGUUUCACACUUUCUCACUUCAGUACCCUGUAGUUUAAAAUGUAUCAAGUUAAUGUCACGUGGCUUCAUUUUUAUCUUUUUGUUGGUUUUUUUGUUAAUAUUUCGUUAAAAUUAUAUACAAAAAAUUUCAGAUACCCACAUAAGUUUAUCGAAUAUUUACUUUAGUACCUUUUAGUUUUAACUUUGUUACUAAUUUAACGAAGAAAAAUUAGUAGAAUCGAUAAUAAAAAAAUAAAAAUAAAACCACGGAGCACUAAUUGAUACAUUUUAAGUCACAGAGUAUUAAAAUAAAAAAAUGUAAAACUGUAGUGAUGGUAUUUGAAGUUUUUUUUUUUAAAAAAAAGAACUCCAAAGGUGAUAAAAUCAAACAAAAUUUAUGUACUGUUUGGUUCGAGUAUAAGUAAGAACUAGCUAUUACAGGGAUAGGUAUAAGUAUGGGGAUAAGAAAAAUAAUGUUUGGAUGAAAAUUGGGUUAUUUCCGGAGAUAAGAAAAAUUUUAGGUAGUUUUAUAUAGAAAAUGAAAGUGUUAGUAGGGAUAACCGAGAAUUAUUAUUCUCGGAUAAAAAAUUAGCGUUUGGAUAUAAAAGGGAAGAUAAAAGCCUAUUUCUAUUCCUUUCCCCUAAAUUUGUACGUCAUC